ACUCCAACUGACAGCAGAUGUCAGCGCCAUCUUCUAACGGCAAUAGCGAUAGCGAGGGCGGCUCCUCACAGAGGAGGAAGUUGUUCAUCUCCUGGUGGACAGGAAGUCAAGUGGAGCAGACACAGGAGGAGGCCAAGAUGAAGAUCCUCAGAGUAAAAGUCCUCAGAGAACCACUUCCUCUAGAGGGCCCCACCUUCUGCAGAGCUACCUCCUCAAGGGCCUAUUCGGAAUUUAAAAUAGUCAACGAACUAAGUCUUUCAUUAGGUCGGAAUCGGAUGAUCUAAGUGUCUCUGGAAACACAUCCAGGGGUCUGCCUUAGUACGUUUAAGCUUGUUGCCUGGUGUCAGUAAGGCCCUUGGACACCAACGUGAUCUCAGGUGGCUGUCCAGACCCCAGGCGUCCGCCCAGUCUUCCAGUGCCAACAACAGGAGCCAUGGACAUCAACCCAGACCCUAGCUGCUGCUGGACCACGACCCAGACAUGGCCCACUGUAGCACAGGCUCAGCUUCUUAACCCAUCAUGUUUGUACUCUUGGUCUGAGCUGGGGAUCUGCCAUUUUCUUUUCUCGGAAUUAAAGGCUGCAUGUUAUAUCUGCUCUUUCUAGCUUGCUUCUUGGCCUUUUCAGCCUAAAGCUAAUCAGCUUAGUGGGCCUUUAAACACCUUAUUAUCUGUUUUAAUAUCUGCUACAUCACAUGCACAAAUAAUUCUCUUUUACAGCUUUUGAAUAUUCUCAUACAUUUUUUCAAGUAAAUUUUAUCAUUAGCAUGUACAGUUUCAUACACACACACACACACACACACACACACGUCUUGAAGGGCAGUGACGGGUGACAUUGAAUUUAUAGUUUAAUUCAAGGGCAUCUGACAUCUUUACAAUAUUGAGUGUUUCCAUCCAGGUCUGUGGUUACACCUUUCAUUUAUCCAGGCCUUCUUUUAUGUUCCUCAGUAAAACUUUAUGAUUUUCUUCCCAUAGGUCCUGAACAUUUCUCCGUAGGUUUAUUCCUAGGUAUUUUAUGUAUUUUUGUUGUUGUUUUCACUGUGAAUGAACCUGGAGGGUUUCUAGGCUUGAACUUAUAUCAUGACAUGAUUCUUUAACCUGAGACGAAAAACAAAAUGUCUCUAGUAUUACUUGUUCCUGAGUUGAGACUCCUGCUCUUUCCCUUCAGCGAGCUAGUGAGUAAUGUCAACUGCAGAAAUGGGUUUCAACUUUUCUAGGGUGCAGUCCUUGGAGUUUGGCCUGGGGUUUAAUGCUACCCCGGCCCACAGUGUGGGUACAAGGUCAGUGUCGACUCUGGUGAAAGCCAGCCUGCAGCACCCUUGCUUUCUCUGCUGCAUCCUUAGGAUGUCUCUGCUUCCUCAGCGGCUCUGCUUGUGGUUCCCUCAUGGUCUGCCAACCCAACCCCAUGUGUUUCCUGUCUUCAGGAGCUGUGAAUAAAGUAAGUCUUUGGCUAUCCAAAAAA